rnacentral:rRNA from 1 species
GACGAACGCUGGCGGCGUGCUUAACACAUGCAAGUCGAACGGAAAGGCCCUGCUUUUGUGGGGUGCUCGAGUGGCGAACGGGUGAGUAACACGUGAGUAACCUGCCCUUGACUUUGGGAUAACUUCAGGAAACUGGGGCUAAUACCGGAUAGGAGCUCCUGCUGCAUGGUGGGGGUUGGAAAGUUUCGGCGGUUGGGGAUGGACUCGCGGCUUAUCAGCUUGUUGGUGGGGUAGUGGCUUACCAAGGCUUUGACGGGUAGCCGGCCUGAGAGGGUGACCGGCCACAUUGGGAUUGAGAUAAGGCCCAGACUACUACGGGAGGCAGAAGUGGGGAAUAGUGCACAAUGGGCGGAAGCCUGAUGCAGCAACGCCGCGUGCGGGAUGACGGCCUUCGGGUUGUAAACCGCUUUCGCCUGUGACGAAGCGUGAGUGACGGUAAUGGGUAAAGAAGCACCGGCUAACUACGUG